GUGAGCAUUCCGUUAUGUUUGCUGACUUCAGAAUCAUGCAGUGAUUUUUAAAGCAAUCACAAUCCAAACAUCACAGACAUUUCUGCUACCAGUAUCAUAACCAAAGUCAGAAAAUGUUAAAGGGACACUUUAGUCACCAGAACAACUACAGCUUAUUUAAUUUGUUCUGGUGAGUAGAAUCACUACCUUCAGGUUUUUUGCUGUAAACAC